CAGGGAUGGGAGAGGGUUGAUAACCAACUCAGGUUCACAGCUGGACCAGAACUCAGGUUUCCUGUUGUGAGGCCGGUCGUCAUUGCAUAAUUGUGCCACCUUCCAAGACAACAGAAUCUCCUCGUUGUCAAACUAGAUACCUCUGCAUCUGGUCCUUUUGGCUGGAAACAAGAUCUGCAGCUGCUGUGGAAAGAUAGGUUACAGUGUCAGUAAAUGGCCCGGCUCCCUGAUUCCCAGCACCAAAUUCCCCCGGAAGAAACAGUUGGCCCAGGGUGUCCAUCCCUGUCCUAUCAGUGGUAGCCAGGGGGUCGCACCCCUCUACACAGCAUGCUGUUUCCCAGCGUUAACUACAGGAUGGCGAGGGCAGUUCCAGAAAAAGCUGAGAAACACUAAGACAGCACACUGAUUCCUGUACACAUACAUGAAUUAAUUUAACACUCACGUUAGCUCCAUUCAUUCAUUUGUUCAUUAAAUGUUUGUUGAAUGCG